GAGGACUCCGGUGUCCGGGUCCGGCUGUGGGUACCGGGGUGGUCCCGAUGCUGGCAGAAGUUCAGAGGGCAGGAGGUAGCCUCGCUGUCCAACAAGGCUGCCGCACCGGAUUUGAGGACGGAGGCCGUGUCUCUAUGGAAGCUCCCUCCCCCAACUGCCUCCCUCCAUGCCUGGCUCUGCCAAGCCCAGGGCCUGGGGCUUUGGAGUCCGGGGCCACCGGGGCCACCGCUGGCUCCUAGUUCCAGUUCCACCACUUAGGGACAGCUGCCCUCUGCCAAGUUUCCUAACCUCACCCAGCCUUGGGGCUGUGGUGAGGAUUAAAAGGUAAUAUCUACCAGUAGAGGGGUGGGCAAUUGCAGAAUAGUCAGGCUAUCUGAUAAAAGGACGAGAACCAGGAGAAGAACAUUGCAGGGAAGAGCAUUUCAGGCCUCCCCCCAGGGCUGGGCACGGUGGCUCACGUCUGUAAUCCCAGCACUUUGGGAGGCUGAGGUGGGCGGAUCUACUUGAGGUCAGGAGUUCGAGACCAGCCUGACCAACAUGGUGAAACCCCAUCUCUACUAAAAAUACAAAAAUUAGCCGGGAGUGGUGGCAUUGUACCUGUAAUCCCAGUUACUUGGGAGGCUGAGGCAGGAGAAUUGCUUGAGCCUGGGAGGCAGAGGUUGCAGUGAGCCAAGAUCACGCUACUGUACUCCAGCCUGGGCGACAGAACAAGACUCGGUCUCAAAAAAAAGAAAAAGAAAAGAAAAGAAAACCAAGAUGGAGAGAGGCAUAGUAGUUUCUAAGACACUGAGCUAAGAAGGAAAGAAGCUUUCAGUGGAAGCCAAGUCUGUCUUACUCUGAAAUGUGUGUUCUUUCCACUCUUUCAGGCUGCCCUAAUUUGCUUUUUAAAGAAUUUUGUGACCCAAAUAAAUAUAAUUGGUGGCAUUUCCAUCGGCAUACCAGAUGACCUCUUCAUAU
rnacentral:lncRNA from 1 species